CGCACUUUGCUUCAAUUUUUGCACUUUUAGCAGUGACUGACAGCAUUUUUAAGGAAAAAAGCUGUGAAGGCAAUAUUUAGCCAAUGGAAAGGCAGAAAAGAAAGAAAAAAAACGCAUGGCUAAAACCCAGACAUGAUGAUUUUCCUUCUAGGUAGGUACACCUUUUUUUUAGGCCGAGAUGAUGGAUGGAAAGUGCGCAAAAAUUACCUCACGUGAUAGAACAUCUAUGCUGGAUAUUACGCGAUAACGAGUCGGAAUCGUGUUUUCUGUAGUUGACUUCUUCCAUUUGGUCAUGGCAGUCAAGCGGUGCUGCGUUAUGAUUUUGUUGGUGAUCUUGCUCAUGGCAAUCCAGUGUUCGGAGUCACUAACAACAGCGGAGGCAAGGCAGAUCUUUACUCAAUCUUUAAAGUCGGAUCCGUGCCGUGGAGGCCGCGGAGCACCAUGUCUUGAGCCUCCAGAUUUUCGGUUCCAAGAGUGCGAUGAGGCAUUCGCGUCCAUCAAGACGCUAGCCGAGGCGGGAGCAAGCGAUGUCCACGCGCACUGCAAGAGCGCGACGUUUGCUAGUUGUCGGCCGAUGAAGCAGUGCUUAUAUUUAUAUUACAAAUGCACUGCCGAGGUCACUUUGACUACCACUAAUGUGAGAGGAAUAGAAUCCGUGAAGAAGAAGGUUGUCUCGCUCAAAGACUGUAAAAAACCAACAGGAGGGCAAUGACGCCAAAAAGCUGUUAUUAAAAUAACUCUAAAUGCACUAAUUUCGUCAGUAUUCGUGUCUCGUACUUGCUGAUUGAAGCAAGAUAUAUGACUUGAAUUGCAUGGCAUUCCUGUGUUUAUUGUAUACUCUUAUAUCAAUGAAUUAAAAUAUAAUUCUCGAAAAACUUAAAAACUUUCGUUUGGUUUUUUUCAAACAGGUCCAGGUAUUGAUAAAACAUAGCCUCCUCAAGCCUCCGCGCCAAAUAAAUGUACAACAUUUUAGACUGCGACAGAAGACUGCCUGACGUCACUUUAGCAUUGAAUGUAAAUGAAGGAAUCAAGAUGGCAGAUCUUUUGUCGCCGCCUUGAAAUGCGCGUAAAUUCAUUUUGCGUGGACUCUACACUUCCGCCAAAAACUUAAAUGGUUCCUCACAACUAAACUCGGCCCGCCAUUAUCAUUUUUUUGAAGGCGACCAAAUGCUUAAGAUAAAUGCCUCCACAGUCAAUGAACUUAUGGUCAAAUUAGCGUUAUUGCCUCAUGAGCCAUGUAGAUUGUCGAUGAUUGCGGGAUCUAUCGGAUAUUUGGCAUACAUUUUAUGUAAGGAACUACUACUCAUUGGCGUGCGAAGGGAGCCACAGGGGCCUGGCCCCCUAAAAUUGAAAAUUGUAUCAUCAGUCCCCCCAGAAAUUCUGGAUGGUGGGAAAAAACCUUCGUUCAACCUUUCCUCAAAAUGGGUCCAAAUAGAUUUAAAAUUUCAAAAAAUUUCCAGGGGAAGCCCCCCGGACCCCCUCUAAAAAU
rnacentral:lncRNA from 1 species